rnacentral:rRNA from 1 species
GACGUCGGGCGCGAGCGUUGUCCGGAUUUAUUGGGCGUAAAGAGCUCGUAGGCGGUUUGUCGCGUCGUUCGUGAAAACUCACAGCUUAACUGUGAGCUUGCGGUCGAUACGGGCAGGCUAGAGUUCGGUAGGGGAGACUGGAAUUCCUGGUGUAGCGGUGAAAUGCGCAGAUAUCAGGAGGAACACCGGUGGCGAAGGCGGGUCUCUGGGCCGAUACUGACGCUGAGGCGCGAAAGCCAGGGGAGCGAACGGG